UGGGGCACAGCCCGGUGGCAGAGCACUUGCCUGGCACGCAUGCGGCCCUGGGUUCAAACUCCAGUGCCACAA
rnacentral:tRNA from 1 species